GAUGAACGCUGGCGGCGUGCCUAAUACAUGCAAGUCGAGCGAACAGACGAGGAGCUUGCUCCUCUGACGUUAGCGGCGGACGGGUGAGUAACACGUGGAUAACCUACCUAUAAGACUGGGAUAACUUCGGGAAACCGGAGCUAAUACCGGAUAAUAUAUUGAACCGCAUGGUUCAAUAGUGAAAGACGGUUUUGCUGUCACUUAUAGAUGGAUCCGCGCCGCAUUAGCUAGUUGGUAAGGUAACGGCUUACCAAGGCAACGAUGCGUAGCCGACCUGAGAGGGGGAUCGGCCACACUGGAACUGAGACACGGUCCAGACUCCUACGGGAGGCAGCAGUAGGGAAUCUUCCGCAAAGGGCGAAAGCCUGACGGAGCAACGCCGCGGGAGUGAUGAAGGUCUUCGGAUCGUAAAACUCUGUUAUUAGGGAAGAACAAAUGUGUAAGUAACUAUGCACGUCUUGACGGUACCUAAUCAGAAAGCCACGGCUAACUACGUG
rnacentral:rRNA from 1 species